AGUGUAAUUGCUGGGUCACAUGAUAACUUUAUGUUGAACUUUGGAGGAACUGCCAAACUGUUCUCCAAAGUGGCUGCAUCAUUUUACAUUCCCACCAGCAAU
rnacentral:pre_miRNA from 1 species